GCCUGGAGGUGGCAGGUGCAGGUGAACAGCCCCUGAUUGUUUGGAGGAGUCUGAAGGUAUGCAGGCUGGCAGAAGGAAGCUGGCUUGGAUGAACAUCUUGCCAUAUGGAGUCACAAAUUGAAUGGCCCCUUUUCAGCUUGGUUGAGAGCAAGCUCCUGAAGCUUUAAUCUGGGGUCAGUUUGGGGAAAAGAAGAAAUCUUGCAGAAACUUGUCAGGACAUAUCACAUGUAGGUUGGAAGAGGGACAUUGACAGGGGCAAUCUAGUCUAGGGUGAGUUCUGUAUGCCAGAGGACACCAGACUAAGGUAUGUCACUGAUGAUGCUAUUUAAUUCCAGAGGGAGUCAGUUGGAUGCAGCUCUUGGUUUUGAGUCUGGCCCUAAUGCUCUCAGCUGACAAAUUCCUUUUUCUUCUUUUGAGGCAGGGUCUCACUGUCACCCAGGCUAGAUGCAGCGGUGCCAUCACAGCUCACGUGGUCCUCCCACCUCAGCCUCCCAAGUAAUUAGGACUACAGGCAUGCACCACCAUACUUGGCUAAUUUUUGUUUUUUUUUUUGUAGAGGCAGGGUUUCACCGUGUUGCCCAGGCUUGUCUAUAACUCCUUGGCUCAAGCGAUCCUCCCACCUUGGCCUCCCAAAGUGCUGGGAUUCCAGGCAUGAGCCACUGUGCCCAGCUUGGCUGACAAAUUCUAAUGGCAGAAAAGAUCAAAUACCAAGAUUGCUUGUAAACAUCACAGCAAAAUAUUGCACUUACUUCACUGCCCCCUGAAGUGACCACAUUUUUCUUUUGUUUUGAGACAGGGUCUCACUCUGUCACCCAGGUUGCAGUGCAGUGGCAUGAUCAUAGCUCACUGCAGCCUCAACUUCCUGGGCUCAAGUGAUUCUCCCACCCCACACUCUUAAGUAACUGGAACUACAAGCAUGCACCACCAUGCCUGGCAUUUUUUUUAUUUUUAUUUUUAUUUUUAUUUUUAUUUGUAGAGAUAGGAUCUCACUAUAUUGCCCAGGCUGGUCUAGAACUCCUGGGCUCAAAUGAUCCUCCCACCUUGGCCUCCCAAAGUGCUGAGGUUACAUGUCUGAGCCAUUGUACCCAGUCAGUGACCACUUUUGAGAAACAAAAAUACAAAUUCCCAAUCCUAACAUAUAGAUCUGAGCCCCAAAGCAUCUGUGUCUUCACCAGAUUUGAUUUACUUUAAGUACAUUGUUUAAAAAAAAUUAAAAUAAAU
rnacentral:lncRNA from 1 species